rnacentral:rRNA from 1 species
CCUACGGGGGGCAGCAGUGGGGAAUAUUGGACAAUGGGCGAAAGCCUGAUCCAGCCAUGCCGCGUGUGUGAAGAAGGCCUUCGGGUUGUAAAGCACUUUCAGUGGGGAAGAAAGCCUUGGGGCUAAUACCCUCGAGGAAGGACAUCACCCACAGAAGAAGCACCGGCUAACUCCGUGCCAGCAGCCGCGGUAAUACGGAGGGUGCGAGCGUUAAUCGGAAUUACUGGGCGUAAAGCGCGCGUAGGCGGUCUGAUAAGCCGGGUGUGAAAGCCCCGGGCUCAACCUGGGAACGGCAUCCGGAACUGUCAGGCUAGAGUGCAGGAGAGGAAGGUAGAAUUCCCGGUGUAGCGGUGAAAUGCGUAGAGAUCGGGAGGAAUACCAGUGGCGAAGGCGGCCUUCUGGACUGACACUGACGCUGAGGUGCGAAAGCGUGGGUAGCAAACAGGAUUAGAUACCCUAGUAGUC